rnacentral:lncRNA from 1 species
GGAAUAGCGGCCCCACCCCUACCCCGAUCAAAGCCAGUUCUUCUUUUCCAAGUAGGAUCAUUUAUUCUUCUUCGUCUUAUAUGGGAAACACAUAGGAUCCUACAAGUUAGGCGGAUUCAAUUGAUCGAUUUUAUUUUUUAUGAAUCAGUGAUUUUGGCCUUAUCAUUAUUGCGGAUUCGAUUGGAUUCACCGGAAGGACCUUCUCGUAUUUUAGCAAUCGAAUUUUACUGGAAAAAUGGAGGACAUAGUCGUGGGAUUACUGAUGAUGAUGCUUCUUUUAUGUUUAAUUCCGCUUUAUUUAUGGAAACGCCGUGUCGAUUCUCGCUCCCCUAUCUGCACGAGGAAGAAACUCACGUCGAAUUUUCUUCUUUAAGCGCAGUUAAAUAAUUUGUAA